rnacentral:rRNA from 1 species
AGAGUUUGAUCCUGGCUCAGGACGAACGCUGGCGGCGUGCUUAACACAUGCAAGUCGAACGAUGAAGCCCAGCUUGCUGGGUGGAUUAGUGGCGAACGGGUGAGUAACACGUGAGCAACGUGCCCAUAACUCUGGGAUAACCUCCGGAAACGGUGGCUAAUACUGGAUAUCUAACAUGAUCGCAUGGUCUGUGUUUGGAAAGAUUUUUUGGUUAUGGAUCGGCUCACGGCCUAUCAGCUUGUUGGUGAGGUAAUGGCUCACCAAGGCGACGACGGGUAGCCGGCCUGAGAGGGUGACCGGCCACACUGGGACUGAGACACGGCCCAGACUCCUACGGGAGGCAGCAGUGGGGAAUAUUGCACAAUGGGCGAAAGCCUGAUGCAGCAACGCCGCGUGAGGGAUGACGGCCUUCGGGUUGUAAACCUCUUUUAGUAGGGAAGAAGCGAAAGUGACGGUACCUGCAGAAAAAGCACCGGCUGACUACGUGCCAGCAGCCGCGGUAAUACGUAGGGUGCAAGCGUUGUCCGGAAUUAUUGGGCGUAAAGAGCUCGUAGGCGGUUUGUCGCGUCUGCUGUGAAAUCCCGAGGCUCAACCUCGGGUCUGCAGUGGGUACGGGCAGACUAGAGUGUGGUAGGGGAGAUUGGAAUUCCUGGUGUAGCGGUGGAAUGCGCAGAUAUCAGGAGGAACACCGAUGGCGAAGGCAGAUCUCUGGGCCAUUACUGACGCUGAGGAGCGAAAGCAUGGGGAGCGAACAGGAUUAGAUACCCUGGUAGUCCAUGCCGUAAACGUUGGGCGCUAGAUGUGGGGACCAUUCCACGGUUUCCGUGUCGUAGCUAACGCAUUAAGCGCCCCGCCUGGGGAGUACGACAGCAAGGCUAAAACUCAAAGGAAUUGACGG